GCUCAACCGAGGAAGUGCUUCGAAAACUGGUAAACUUGAGUGCAGAAGAGGAAAGUGGAACUCCAUGUGUAGCGGUGGAAUGCGUAGAUAUAUGGAAGAACACCAGUGGCGAAGGCGGCUUUCUGGUCUGUAACUGACGCUGAGAUUCGAAAGCAUGGGUAGCAAACAGGAUUAGAUACCCUGGUAGUCCAUGCCGUAAACGAUGAGUGCUAAGUGUUGGAGGGUUUCCGCCCUUCAGUGCUGCAGCUAACGCAUUAAGCACUCCGCCUGGGGAGUACGAUCGCAAGAUUGAAACUCAAAGGAAUUGACGGGGGCCCGCACAAGCGGUGGAGCAUGUGGUUUAAUUCGAAGCAACGCGAAGAACCUUACCAGGUCUUGACAUACCAUGAAAAGCUAAGAGAUUAGUCUUUCCCUUCGGGGACAUGGAUACAGGUGGUGCAUGGUUGUCGUCAGCUCGUGUCGUGAGAUGUUGGGUUAAGUCCCGCAACGAGCGCAACCCUUAUUAUCAGUUGCCAGCAUUCAGUUGGGCACUCUGGUGAGACUGCCGGCGACAAACCGGAGGAAGGUGGGGACGACGUCAAAUCAUCAUGCCCCUUAUGACCUGGGCUACACACGUGCUACAAUGGUCGGUACAACG
rnacentral:rRNA from 1 species